GUCUCCGUAGCUCAGUGGAUAGAGCAUUGGUUUCCGGUACCAAAGGUCGCACGUUCGAAUCGUGUCGGGGACA
rnacentral:tRNA from 3 species